rnacentral:rRNA from 1 species
GUCUACUGCCACACCACCCUGAAUGUGCCCGAUCUCAUCUGAUCUCAGAAGCUAAGCAGGGUUGGGCCUGGUUAUUACUUGGAUGGGAGACCACCUAGGAAGACCAGAUGCUAUAGGUG